GACAAGCGUGUCUCCGGAGACAGAUCAGUGUUCAGCUGCUCCACACUGAGGCUCAGGGUGCCUCCAGCUACAACACACUAACACAGAGAGACAUUACUACCGCUGUGGAGACUCCUACACCUGCUGCUGACAUUUGAGGGAGAAGAUCCUUCUCUUUUUGAGGAAAAAAAAAAUGAAACUUGAAGUUUUCUCCGCGCACCACUUUGCGCAGAAGCCGCUGGAGUUGUGCAUGGACGCGGAGGGCGGAGUUGCGUCUCUAUCCGGAGACGAGCUGGGGUCUGACGGGGACUGCGUGGCCAACAGCCCGGCACCUGUUCUCCAGCAGAGCGGCAGCGAGGAGGGCGGCAACAACAACAAGGGCAACAAGCCCUACACCCGCAGACCCAAACCCCCCUACUCCUACAUCGCCCUCAUCGCCAUGGCCAUCCGGGAGGCCGGCAGCGGCCGCCUCACCCUGGCGGAGAUCAACGACUACCUGAUGAAGAAGUUCCCGUUCUUCCGCGGCGGCUACACCGGCUGGAGGAACUCGGUGCGCCACAACCUGUCGCUCAAUGACUGCUUCCUCAAGGUGCUGCGGGACCCGUCCAGGCCCUGGGGCAAGGACAACUACUGGAUGCUCAACCCGCACAGCGAGUACACCUUCGCGGACGGCGUGUUCCGGCGCAGGAGGAAGCGCAUCGCCAAGAGGUCCGGAGCCGCCAAGGAGAGGGAGACAUGCCCGGACAUCCUGGGCGGGGACACCCGCCUCCAAGGCCCGGAGGAGAGGGUUGGAGGUGCCGCCAAGUUCUCCAGCUCCUUCGCCAUCGACAGCAUCCUCAGCACGCCCUUCAAACGGAGGGAGGAGAGCCACGUUGACGCCCACCGACUCUAUUACUCCCACAUACUGCCUUACAGUCUGAGCUACCCGGCACAGCACGGGUACCACCUGUCAGAGGGCGCGUGCAGCAGCAGCAGCAGCACGGAGCCCAGCUGCACAUACCUCCAUCACACACCUGAGCACGCUCUGCACGCGCUCAAGGUGCCCAACAAGGCGCGAGGCUUCCAUAUAGACUCCUUGUUGUCAUAAUGCAUCCAGGACUGUGUGUGUUGUCAUAAAGCAUCCAGGACUGUGUGUGUUGUCAUAAUGCAUCCAGGACUGUGUGUGUUGUCAUAAUGCAUCCAGGACUGUGUGUGUGUGUUUUGACCCCCAUGAUGUGCACUUUUUGUGGGCGCUCUUAUAGCUGUUUUAUCUGUUUGGGACUAUCUGUCUGUGUACUGUAAGUUAUUCUGCAGUGAAAACACAUGUUGUCAACUGUGUGAUGAUUCAGCAAAUAUCAUGUCAUCAGCAGGGCAUUCCACUGCGCGCGUGUGUGUGUGUAUGUGUGAGUGUGUUAGAGAUGUUUAGAAGAGAGAGUGUGUGUCUCCAUGUUAUCCAUGUAUGAUGGUUCAUUGGUCAUUUCCACUGUAUACGACAACGGCAACCAAGCGCCAAACUAUUAAUCUAUUUAUAUUUUCAUGGUUUUUUUUUGUAUGACCUGCUGUAUAAAAUAUUGUUGUGUAUAUAUAUAUAUAUAUAUAUAAUGUAUAUAUGAAAUAAAUAUUGACAGAGCUAUACGAUGAGAAUCGCGUGGCUGCACUAGAAAACGCAUGGAAAAUGUUUUGAAAAUAUGUUUUUUCCUCAGAUUGAUUGAUUCAUGCAUGUCUGGUAUUUUUAUGAAUAAAAAGAAAUACAAUGGGA